CAAAUAUCCAGGGGUCUGUCUUUAAGUGGGAAAGCCCACAACCAACUGCAUUAUUUCAGGACAGGGCUACUGCCAAGCAGCACUGCAGGGGCUUGGCUCCCUUCUUAGCACAGCAGAAGGAAUCAGCACCCAGGGGAUGGGAAUUCUGUUCCCAGCUGUAGCAGUGGGUCCCCAGAAGCCUUCAGGAAGGAUGAGUUCCUCCUCUCAGGGAAGGAAUUCCAGUUCUGCCAAGGACAGGGAGCAUCCUUGCCCAUAGAAAAAAGGCCAAAAGGUUCAGUGGCCAAAGGGGCUGCAGCACCUAUGGAAUUUGGCUGGGAAAUCAGAGCAGUGCUGAAUUCUGAUGUUUUCUCUGAAAAGAGUCAUAAGGGAUCUGUAACUGUAACCAGAUCCAAGAUUUCAUCCUCAGAGAAUCAGAAAGAAGAUUGGCUUAGUUUGAACCCCUGAGAAUGAUAAACUUGCUGAACUAUUAAGAGCUCAGCUCCACGCAGGAGAAAAUAAAGGUCCUGGCUG